rnacentral:rRNA from 1 species
UAAUACGAAGGGGGCUAGCGUUGUUCGGAAUCACUGGGCGUAAAGCGUACGUAGGCGGAUCGUUAAGUCAGGGGUGAAAGCCUGGAGCUCAACUCCAGAACUGCCUUUGAUACUGGCGAUCUUGAGACCGGGAGAGGUGAGUGGAACUGCUAGUGUAGAGGUGAAAUUCGUAGAUAUUAGCAAGAACACCAGUGGCGAAGGCGGCUCACUGGCCCGGUACUGACGCUGAGGUACGAAAGCGUGGGGAGCAAACAGGAUUAGAUACCCUGGUAGUCCACGCCGUAAACGAUGGAAGCCAGCCGUUGGCCAGCAUGCUGGUCGGUGGCGCAGCUAACGCAUUAAGCUUCCCGCCUGGGGAGUACGGUCGCAAGAUUA